UUUCACCUCCUCCUUAUGUUAGCAUAGUAAUACAAAAAAUUGAUCACUUUCUUCUCUCUUUGGCGCGGUUGUAGAAAACGAACAAAUUUGCCUGGAAGCCUCACUUCGCCGGCCGGCCGGCCGGUUUGUGUUAAGAUAAACGAAACACCAACCAUGUACCAUGUACGUACCAAGCCAGCCAGCCAGCCGUCCGUCAAUCAUCUGUAAUCUGAAACCUCAAGUGGAUUGCGUGUUUGAUGAAAGGGAAAAUUAAGAAUGAUCCAAGGACCCUAAUGAAGCUUAUGAAGAGCUUUAAUAGGAGCUUCAGUUAUAGAUGAACAAAGGAAAAACUCCCCAUAUUCUGCUGUUAAAGAUCAGGCCAAUGAGGUUGGGGAAUCAUUACCUGCUGCAUCAUUGGAGGAGAAUGCAGAAGAUGAUGAAGACCAGAUUUCGGACUGAAGUGUAUGCAUAAUCGCAAGUGCCAUCCCUAAAAAAAAGGCAAGAAGAGUUAAUUUUACUUACAUAAGUUGGGCUUUUUUGACAUACAUUAUUAUCAUAAAUGUUGAGACAUUUGCUUUGA